rnacentral:rRNA from 1 species
ACGCUAGCUACAGGCUUAACACAUGCAAGUCGAGGGGUAGCAGGGUAGCAAUACCGCUGACGACCGGCGCACGGGUGAGUAACACGUAUCCAACCUUCCCAUAACUCGGGGAUAGCCUUUCGAAAGAAAGAUUAAUACCCGAUAGUACUUAAGAAAGGCAUCUUUUUUAAGUUAAAGAUUUAUUGGUUAUGGAUGGGGAUGCGUUCCAUUAGAUAGUUGGUGAGGUAACGGCUCACCAAGUCUUCGAUGGAUAGGGGUUCUGAGAGGAAGGUCCCCCACAUUGGUACUGAGACACGGACCAAACUCCUACGGGAGGCAGCAGUGAGGAAUAUUGGUCAAUGGGCGAGAGCCUGAACCAGCCAAGUAGCGUGAAGGAUGACGG